GACGAACGCUGGCGGCGUGCUUAACACAUGCAAGUCGAACGAAAAGAGGGAAAGAGCUUGCUCUUUCCGGAAUUGAGUGGCAAACGGGUGAGUAACACGUAAACAACCUGCCUUCAGGAUGGGGACAACAGACGGAAACGACUGCUAAUACCGAAUAAGUUCCAAGGGCCGCAUGGCCCAUGGAAGAAAAGGUGGCCUCUACCUGUAAGCUAUCGCCUGAAGAGGGGUUUGCGUCUGAUUAGCUGGUUGGAGGGGUAACGGCCCACCAAGGCGACGAUCAGGAGCCGGUCUGGGGGGGUGGACGGCCACACUGGAACUGGGACACGGUCCAGAAUCCUACGGGAGGCAGCAGUGGGGAAUCUUCCGCAAUGGGCGAAAGCCUGACGGAGCAACGCCGCGUGAGGGAUGACGGCCUUCGGGUUGUAAAACUCUGUGAUCCGGGACGAAAAGGCAGAGUGCGAAGAACAAACUGCAUUGACGGUACCGGAAAAGCAAGCCACGGCUAACUACGUG
rnacentral:rRNA from 1 species